GUACUCGCUUCGACAACACAUAUAUUAAAAUUGGAACGACACAGAAAAGAUUAACAUGGCCCUGUGCAAGGAUAACAUGCAAAUUCAUGAAGCAGUUCAUAUUUAA